UAUCUUUGCCGCUUGACCGAAAAUCGGCCAUAUACAUAAAAAUCAUUUAAAAUAAUAUUGGCAUG
rfam:Zobellia galactanivorans strain DsiJT chromosome, complete genome.